GAGGCUUCGGUCUCUGAGUAGAGCGGCGCACGGGUGAGUAACGCGUGGAUGAUCUACCCUUGAGUUCGGGAUAACGGUGCGAAAGCGCCGCUAAUACCGUAUAACAAUCCAUUUCAUCGUGGGUUCAAAGCAGGCCUCUUCAUGAAAGCUUGCGCUUGGGGAUGAGUCCGCGUCCCAUUAGCUUGUUGGUGGGGUAAUGGCCUACCAAGGCGACGAUGGGUAGCUGGUCUGAGAGGAUGAUCAGCCACACUGGAACUGAAACACGGUCCAGACUCCUACGGGAGGCAGCAGUGGGGAAUAUUGCGCAAUGGGGGAAACCCUGACGCAGCGACGCCGUGUGAGGGAAGAAGGCUUUCGGGUCGUAAACCUCUGUCGGGAGGGAAGAACCUUCCAGGCCUGAACAAGUCCUGGAACUGACGGUACCUCCAAAGGAAGCACCGGCUAACCCCGUGCCAGCAGCCGCGGUAAUACGGAGGGUGCAAGCGUUAAUCGGAAUCACUGGGCGUAAAGCGCACGUAGGCGGCCUUUUAAGUCGGACGUGAAAGCCCUCGGCUCA
rnacentral:rRNA from 1 species